AGAGUUUGAUUAUGGCUCAGGAUGAACGCUAGCGACAGGCUUAACACAUGCAAGUCGAGGGGCAGCAUAAAAGUAGCAAUACUUGGUGGCGACCGGCGCACGGGUGAGUAACGCGUAUGCAACCUACCUAUCAGAGGGGAAUAACCCGGCGAAAGUCGGACUAAUACCGCAUAAAACAGGGGCACCGCAUGGUGAUAUUUGUUAAAGAAAUUCGCUGAUAGAUGGGCAUGCGUUCCAUUAGGUAGUUGGUGAGGUAACGGCUCACCAAGCCGACGAUGGAUAGGGGAACUGAGAGGUUGGUCCCCCACACUGGUACUGAGACACGGACCAGACCCCUACGGGAGGCAGCAGUGAGGAAUAUUGGUCAAUGGGCGGGAGCCUGAACCAGCCAAGUCGCGUGAAGGAAAAGAAGGAUCUAUGGUUCGUAAACUUCUUUUGCAGGGGAAUAAAGUGCAGGACGUGUCCUGUUUUGUAUGUACCCUGAGAAUAAGGAUCGGCUAACUCCGUGCCAGCAGCUGC
rnacentral:rRNA from 1 species